AUUGAACGCUGGCGGCAUGCCUUACACAUGCAAGUCGAACGGUAACAGGGGGGCAACCCUGGUGGCGAGUGGCGAACGGGUGAGUAAUACAUCGGAACGUGCCCAGUCGUGGGGGAUAACGUAGCGAAAGCUACGCUAAUACCGCAUACGAUCUACGGAUGAAAGCGGGGGAUCGCAAGACCUCGUGCGAGUGGAGCGGCCGCUGGAAGAUUAGGUAGUUGGUGAGGUAAAGGCUCACCAAGCCGACGAUCCGUAGCUGGUCUGAGAGGACGACCAGCAACACUGGGACUGAGACACGGCCCAGACUCCUACGGGAGGCAGCAGUGGGGAAUUUUGGACAAUGGGCGCAAGCCUGAUCCAGCCAUUCCGCGUGCAGGAUGAAGGCCCUCGGGUUGUAAACUGCUUUUGUACGGAACGAAACGGCUCUCUCUAAUACAGGGGGCUAAUGACGGUACCGUAAGAAUAAGCACCGGCUAACUCCGUGCCAGCCGCCGCAGUAAUAC
rnacentral:rRNA from 1 species